rnacentral:rRNA from 1 species
UACGGAGGGUGCAAGCGUUAUCCGGAUUCACUGGGUUUAAAGGGUGCGUAGGCGGACAGGUAAGUCAGUGGUGAAAUCUCUGGGCUUAACUCAGAAACUGCCGUUGAUACUAUUUGUCUUGAAUAUGGGAGAGGUGAGUGGAACUGCGAGUGUAGAGGUGAAAUUCGUAGAUAUUCGCAAGAACACCGGUGGCGAAGGCGGGUCUCUGGGCAACAACUGACGCUGAGGAGCGAAAGCGUGGGGAGCGAACAGG